rnacentral:lncRNA from 1 species
AAGAAAGAGGGCCAGAGGAGGGGAAGGGACUGCAGUCCUGGAACGCUUUGGGGAGUCAGGACCCUAAGUAACAGGACCUGGCAUUGGUGGAAAGUCUAGACUGGCAGACGCUGCCAACCGCUCAGUGAGCGCUUUCAUUUAUCUGGGAAGAGAGAAGAGAGAGGAGAGGGAGAGAGUUCACCGCGAAGUGGAUGGAAGGGGAGCCGGGACUAUGGCACUGAGACCGGCGCAGAGCAGCUGCGCGCCCGAGGACGAAUCUCCUCCAGGAGGACCAGCGGGCGUCGGGAACGGCUGCGCACAGAGGAAUCAACUUGUGGCUCCAGACCGUCCCCAACGCAGCUGGAAAUGAGAUCAAAGCUGCAGUUUCAUUCCAGAAGGAUGAGAGGAGCCAGUGAUUAGAGAAUUUUUUUUAACCCUCUUCAUUCCUGUUUCGUUACCCCCCCCCCUUUUUUCUUUAAAUAUAUUUUUUGAAUAUUUUUUUUUCCUUUUUAAAAUUACCUAACACCACGUCAGCCCCUUCACUUUGUUUUCCCUGCUUGAAAUAAAAGCCUAGCCUGAACUUCCACAACCUUGGGGACUCGAGAUCUACUGCUGGAUGAUGGAGAAGGGGACACCAGUGCUGGCAGGGGCCGCUGGCGAGGGACCGCAUCGAGCGUCUCUCCGGUGAUCCCUGCCCUGAUCGCCCAGUUCAGCUAUACCUGGAGGACCUGUACCCAGUGCUGGGAGUGGGGGAGGGGACCCAGUGAAAGCCACCCAGAGCC